GGAAAACAGAGAGACACGAUGUCAACUUCAUGUUAUAGACUCCGUGGAAAAAUUACCGUGAUAAUUUCAAAGGUCUUCCAGUUCUUCUUUCUUGGUUAACUGACGUCCCUAGCCAUGAAUGCAGCAGGUGGAAGCGUAAAUUACUGAGAGCUCGACGUGCUCGAUGAGAUCCUUGCUUUAAGGGGAAACCCUUUGGGAGUCCUGUAGGAAUAUGAAAAAAACUACUGAAGAAUGAAGACGUUUACUAGAAAGUCAUUUUUAUGAAAAUCAAGAAACUAAAACCUGGAUUCGCUGAUAAAACAAGAUGAGAGACACAGGGUUCCAUAAGGAUGAAAUAUGUAUAUCUGAUGGAUUCAGAUAUCAUGUAGACGCACGAAAGUGAGGAUAAAUUUUUCAGAAUAAAUGUUUCUUAUACUGAUACACUUUCGGGCUUUGCCUUCCUAUGUGUAUUCUAGAAGAAAAUUUAUUCACCGGGAAGGUGAAUGUUUUGUAAAGAAAUCGCUGAGAACGAGGAACCGAAAAACAAUUGGAUCGAUUGUAAAUUUACGAUAUGCAUAAAUAAAUAUACUUUUGUAGAG